GCAAAAGGGAUAAAACUGGCAAUUCGCAAGAAAAUGCAAACGGCUGGCCGACCUGCGAAGGAAACAUCACGACCUAUUUGCAUAAAGAAAUGCAAACCUGAAACACCGGGCACGUGCGGUUUAGGGGAGCGGGCAGUCUCACACACUACUGAGUUGUUUCCCACCAGCCGUCAGUACAGACCUUCCACUGCGUAAGCCCACUGCAUUGCCAUUUAAUGAAACAGCAAGAAAAUGAGAGAGAAAAAUAAUGAGGUAGAAUUGUAUGGGAUUAUUAAGGAUUGAAUUCUCAGUAGAUUUAGUGAAAUAUACAAGUUACUGAAGUUUGUAGAAACGAACUGGUAAGUAAGUGUUUUCUCAUUUAUUUGUUUUUUAAGGAUAAACCCAAAUAUAGGUAAAACUGUUGGAAAGGUAGGCAAGAAAUUGUUGAUGAGUUACUUCUAGGGACAAGGAAUGUGGGGUGGAAGAGGGAUUUUUCCCUUCUGCCAUCCAUACUGUGAAUUUCCUUGGCAGAAAUACGUAUUUCUUCUCUGGCAGUAAAAUCAAUGAAUUACUAAAAGUUCACUAAUGUACUCUUUGGUCCAACUAUUCCACUCUCAAGGAACUAAAAAAGCAAAGGAAAUACAGGGAUAUACAGAAGAUUCUAUACAGGGAUAUUCACGGAGCAUCAUUUUUAUCACCAAAAAUGUGCUCCAUAGAAAAGAAUUAAACUGUAUUCUGGUAAAUUUACACAGCGCGAUUUUAACUGACUAAUAAAAAUGCUGUAUGAUUUUAACUUUAAAGGAAAAAAUCUGUAAGAUGUGGUUAAUUACCAAAAGGUGUUUACCUAAGGAGCACACAGACUUUAAUACCCCAAAUUAAACUUUAUAUUAUACUCAAGGAGUUAUCAGUGGUUGCUUGCUACACUGAGAAGCUGCUUUAUGUGUUUUAGACUCCCUAGACCAUCAACAGUCUCUUUUUGCCCAGCAGUGCCACAUAAACAUAAUAUACGAAUGAAAACACUGUGCUUCUUAUGAAAAUACACGUUCAAAACAAGUUCCCCAGCAGGAAGAUUGAA
rnacentral:lncRNA from 1 species